AUUGAACGCUGGCGGCAGGCCUAACACAUGCAAGUCGGGCGGAUGAAGGGAGCUUGCUCCUGGAUUCAGCGGCGGACGGGUGAGUAAUGCCUAGGAAUCUGCCUGGUAGUGGGGGAUAACGUCCGGAAACGGGCGCUAAUACCGCAUACGUCCUGAGGGAGAAAGUGGGGGAUCUUCGGACCUCACGCUAUCAGAUGAGCCUAGGUCGGAUUAGCUAGUUGGUGGGGUAAAGGCCUACCAAGGCGACGAUCCGUAACUGGUCUGAGAGGAUGAUCAGUCACACUGGAACUGAGACACGGUCCAGACUCCUACGGGAGGCAGCAGUGGGGAAUAUUGGACAAUGGGCGAAAGCCUGAUCCAGCCAUGCCGCGUGUGUGAAGAAGGUCUUCGGACUGUAAAGCACUUUAAGUUGGGAGGAAGGGCAGUAAGUUAAUACCUUGCUGUUUUGACGUUACCAACAGAAUAAGCACCGGCUAACUUCGUG
rnacentral:rRNA from 1 species